rnacentral:rRNA from 1 species
GCAUAUCAAUAAGCGGAGGAAAAGAAACCAACAGGGAUUACCUUAGUAACGGCGAGUGAAGCGGUAAAAGCUCAAAUUUGAAAUCUUCGGAAUUGUAAUUUGAUGGAUAAAAUUGCCACGGACAAAAGUUCACUGGAAAGUGACGCCGUAGAGGGUGAUAGCCCCGUUUACGUCCACCGGCACUAUAAUUUUAUUCCAAAGAGUCGGGUUGUUUGGGAAUGCAGCUCAAAGUGGGUGGUAAAUUCCAUCUAAAGCUAAAUAUUGACGAGAGACCGAUAGCGAACAAGUACAGUGAUGGAAAGAUGAAAAGAACUUUGAAAAGAGAGUGAAACAGUACGUGAAAUUGUUGAAAGGGAAGGGGAGGGAAGAUGUUAAAGGGACUCCUUCUUUAGUAGGGAUCCCCCCAAGAGUCUUUCCUCUCGCCCGUCUUGAAACACGGACCAAGGAGUCUAACGAUUAUGCAAGUAUUUGAGUCAACCCCCAAAUGCGUAAUGAAAGUAAUUGGUCAACCCUACCCUCCUGUCCUAAAGGGCGGGAGAGGAAGCAUAAUUAUUAGGACCCGAAAGAUGGUGAACUAUACCUGGAUAGGGUGAAGCCAGAGGAAACUCUGGUGGAAGCUCGUAGCGGUUCUGACGUGCAAAUCGAUCGUCAAAUCUGGGUAUAGGGGCGAAAGACUAAUCGAACCAUCUAGUAGCUGGUUCCUGCCG